AAUAAUCAAACACGACCCGUUUCAAACGAGUGUGGUUCGGAUCCUCUACUUAUUGGGUCGAGCUUGACCCAAAGAGCAACUCUUCUUGAACCGAAGCAUGUAAACCUCACCCAUCUACAACCUCAAGCCCAAAGAAAACUAUUCGACGACACCAACUAAUCUGAAGAGAGUUUCACAACCCAGUUCGUCGUCGUCGAUUACACCGAAGUUUCUUCUUCUCACUCAUUUAAUUGUGACAAAUUAUUUUAUUCUCUUCAGUCUUUCUCUCCCUGUAAUUUCUAUAUGUGAAAGUUGAUAUCAAAGAUUUCAAAUUUGAUCAAAUGGGUUCUGCUUCUGCUGCUGCAAAUACGGCGUCUAUGAUUACUGUCGUCCCUGUUUCUUCGACAAAGUUGGAUAUCCAUGACAAUUUUCAUAGGGUUUCAUCUCAGACGUGGUGGGUCGAUCGCCAAAUUUACUGCCGCCAUCUCUCCCAACGGCUCUGUUUCUCCUUCUUCUUCACAUGGGGCUGGGUGCUCAGCUGGAGAUGCGGAAAAACAAAGAACUAGUCUUGAAUCUCUGUUUUGUUAUGAUAAGUCUGUACCGGAAGGGAGAAUCGAGAAGCCUAUUGGGAUGUCUUUGACUGAGAAAAUCAUUGGAAACAAUCCCCGAAGCUAAAGGCGCAGUCCUUUGCACCACUUGUUCUGGUUCAGGCCUGUAUGUUGAUUCAAUACUGGAGAGCCAGGGUAUUCUUGUCAAAGUUCGCUGCCUUGGUAAUUAGCUCCUCUUCUCAUAACUGAGUACAUUUGUUGAUUUGAAAAAGAAAACAAUAUUUGCACUUGAUUGUCAAAUAUUAAAGUUUUAUAGGUUCAUUGGAGUAUAUACUAUAUGGCCAAUGAGAAUAUGCUAACGCGAUAGUUGCUCCAUGUUGGUUGCGGGGGAAGUGGCAACAUUAUGUGUUCAGAAUGUGGUGGCCGCGGGCAUCUAGGAUUACCAUACCGGUUCGCUUAUCUUCCUUGAAUUUGCUGUAUGUGCAAGUAACUUGUAUUAUAGCCAUGAUGCUUUCUCGAAUUUUUUGUAGCUAAUUCCACGAUGAGUUUACGUUAAGUGUAACAGUAAUGCAUCUGAUUCAUUUACUCUUCGAAAUGGUGUUCUUCGUCA